rnacentral:rRNA from 1 species
UGGGCGUAAAGGGUGCGUAGGUGGUUGGAUAAGCCUGAUGUGAUAGCUCCGGGCUUAACCCGGAAACGGCAUUAGAAACUGUUCGGCUGGAGGAUUGGAAGGGAGACUGGAAUUCUCGGUGUAGCAGUGAAAUGCGUAGAGAUCGAGAGGAACACCAGUGGCGAAGGCGGGUCUCUGGACAAUCCCUGACACUGAGGCACGAAAGCUAGGGGAGCAAACAGGAUUAGAUACCCUGGUAGUCCUAGCUGUAAACGGUGCACAUUUGCUGUAAGAGGAUUCGACCCCUUUUGUGGCGAAGCUAACGCGUUAAAUGUGCCGCCUGGGAAGUACGAUCGCAAGAUUAAAACUCAAAGAAAUUGACGGGGGCCUGCACAAGCGGUGGAGUAUGUGGCUUAAUUCGAUGCAACGCGAAGAACCUUACCUGGCCUUGACAUGUAUCUAGUAGAAGGGUGAAAGCCUGACGAGGUAGCAGUACCAGGAUACACAGGUGCUGCAUGGCUGUCGUCAGCUCGUGUCGUGAGAUGUUGGGUUAAGUCCCGCAACGAGCGCAACCCCCGUGUCCUGUUGCUAUCCGGAUGAGAGUCUGGAGCACUCUGGACAAACUGCCUCGCUUAAACGAGGAGGAAGGUGGGGAUGACGUCAAGUCAGGAUGGCCCUUACGGCCAGGGCUGCACACGUACUACAAUGCCCGGUACAAAGGGAAGCAAUACCGCAAGGUGGAGCCAAUCCCCAAAAAGCGGGCUCAGUUCAGAUUGUCGGCUGCAAUUCGCCGGCAUGAAGCUGGAAUCGCUAGUAAUGGCGCAU